CCCUUAGAUGUCCUGGGCCGCACGCGCGCUACACUGAUACGUUCAACGAGCUCCCCUUGGUCGAGAGGCCUAGGUAAUCUUUUGAACGCGUAUCGUGAUAGGGAUAGACCUUUGCAAUUAUUGGUCUUGAACGAGGAAUUCCUAGUAAACGCGAGUCAUCAGCUCGCAUUGAUUACGUCCCUGCCCUUUGUACACACCGCCCGUCGCACCUACCGAUUGAACGAUUCGGUGAAAACUCCGGACUGUGGUUGUGCGCCCUUUAUUGGGAGCGCUUCCGUGGAAAGUUGUGUAAACCUCAUCGUUUAGAGGAAGGUGAANUCGUANCA
rnacentral:rRNA from 1 species